rnacentral:rRNA from 1 species
GUUUGAAUCCUGGCUCAGAUUGAACGCUGGCGGCAUGCUUUACACAUGCAAGUCGAACGGGCUUGGGGGCUUGCUCCCAAGUUAGUGGCGAACGGGUGAGUAAUACAUCGGAACGUACCGUGUAGUGGGGGAUAACGUAGCGAAAGUUACGCUAAUACCGCAUACGAUCUACGGAUGAAAGCAGGGGACCUUCGGGCCUUGUGCUAUACGAGCGGCCGAUGUCUGAUUAGCUAGUUGGUGAGGUAAAGGCUCACCAAGGCGACGAUCAGUAGCGGGUCUGAGAGGAUGAUCCGCCACACUGGGACUGAGACACGGCCCAGACUCCUACGGGAGGCAGCAGUGGGGAAUUUUGGACAAUGGGCGAAAGCCUGAUCCAGCCAUGCCGCGUGUCUGAAGAAGGCC